UACGUAGGGUGCUAGCGUUGUCCGGAUUUAUUGGGCGUAAAGAGCUCGUAGGCGGCUUGGUAAGUCGGAUGUGAAACCUCCAGGCUCAACCUGGAGUCGCCAUCCGAUACUGCUAUGGCUAGAGUCCGGUAGGGGCCCACGGAAUUCCUGGUGUAGCGGUGAAAUGCGCAGAUAUCAGGAGGAACACCGGUGGCGAAGGCGGGUCUCUGGGCCGAUACUGACGCUGAGGAGCGAAAGCGUGGGGAGCGAACAGG
rnacentral:rRNA from 1 species